ACAGAGGGUGCGAACGUUGUUCGGAAUUACUGGGCAUAAAGCGCGCGCAGGCGGUUCGUUAAGUGUGGAGUGAAAGCCCGCGGCUUACCCGUGGAACGGCUCUGCAUACUGACGGACUCGAGGACGGUAGGGGAGAGCGGAACUCUUGGUGGAGCGGUGAAAUGCGUAGAUAUCAAGAGGAACACCGAUGGCGAAGGCAGCUCCCUGGUCCGUUUCUGACGCUGAGGCGCGAAAGCUAGGGUAGCAAACGGUA
rnacentral:rRNA from 1 species